rnacentral:lncRNA from 1 species
AUAUUACAGAGGAUUCCCAGAGUGGAAAAUGACUGUCUCUUUUCACACUUGUAGAAAUGGAAAAGAACUCAGAGCUGAGACAAUUGCAACUUAACAAGAAAGCCCCAACUACCAAACUUAUUGGAGCUUCAUUUCCAAAAUGCUGUUGGUGAUGGGUCAGAGAGAGAACACUAAUCCUGAGCCACCUCCUUCAAGAGGCUCCCUGUCCAUCUCCUGCAAGGUCCAGGGAGAAGAGAGGGGACUGGGCAGUACAAAGGAAGAAAGUCACUCUUGUUGAAUGUUUACUGUUCCAGGCCUCCAGAUGCUUCAUAUUUGUUAUCUUGCCGAGUCAAAUAAUAGGAAGAUGGCACUAACGACUGUGAGGUUCGGAAAGAUUAAGUAUAACGUUACCAGCUAAAAAGGCCUUCUCCAUAGUGGAUGCUCCAUAAAUACCUGUUUCUGAAAUAAAUGGACGCCAGAGACAGGGUUCGAACCCAGUUUUAAUUCAACUCCAAAGCCUGUGUGUUUUUCACGCUGCAUCUUCAAGCCCAGCUUGGAAAGGAAGAUGGUGAUUGAACUUCUUCAAAUGCUGCCCAUCUCUGGCAAGCUUUGUCCAAAAUGUCAUUCAGGAGAAACUCUUUUGAGGCCAUACACCAAAUAAUCAGUGACGACCUCACUUUCCCUCUCCACUGACGAAGGAUUCUGCAAGGCACGUUGGUUGAUUCAAACAGAAGGAAAUUUAAAAAGCAAGUAUGUUGUGGCACUUGUGGUUGUGUUACAGUAGGUAAUUAGUGAGACAUGAGCAGGGCAGAAGAGGACCCCCCACUCCGCCGCCCCGACCACCAGGAAUGUCAGGCGACCAUCAGGUGUUGGUCAGGCGGUUGUUAAACUGUCUCUUUAAAAUAAUAAUUGACCUCAGCCAGCACAAGGAAAAGGCCAGUCUCCCAAUAGAUAAAAACAUCUGAAACUGGUGAUGAGCAGCUUCUCUAUGCGAUCUCAGGAGUUGGGCAAGUGGGCUCGAGCAUGUGUACUAAGAGGCAAAAUGAUGGCAUUUAAUUGGCAUAUGACCUUCUAGGAACAUUUGACUAGUAAGGGAAGAAGGCCUCAAGUGAACAUGCAUACAACUUCAGAGAACACUGACAGUGCGGCUCCUCCCAAGUUGCAAGAGAUAGAAGCCUACUCAAACUAGCCUUAAAAAAAGGUGG